CCCCUAAGGGGGCCGUUAUAAUGCAAGUCGAACGCACUCUCGUUAGAUUGAAGAAGCUUGCUUCUGAUUGAUAACAUUUGAGUGAGUGGCGGACGGGUGAGUAACACGUGGGUAACCUGCCCUAAAGUGGGGGAUAACAUUUGGAAACAGAUGCUAAUACCGCAUAAAACCUAGCACCGCAUGGUGCAAGGUUGAAAGAUGGUUUCGGCUAUCACUUUAGGAUGGACCCGCGGUGCAUUAGUUAGUUGGUGAGGUAAAGGCUCACCAAGACCGUGAUGCAUAGCCGACCUGAGAGGGUAAUCGGCCACACUGGGACUGAGACACGGCCCAGACUCCUACGGGAGGCAGCAGUAGGGAAUCUUCCACAAUGGACGAAAGUCUGAUGGAGCAACGCCGCGUGAGUGAAGAAGGUUUUCGGAUCGUAAAACUCUGUUGUUGGAGAAGAACGUAUUUGAUAGUAACUGAUCAGGUAGUGACGGUAUCCAACCAGAAAGCCACGGCUAACUACGUGCCAGCAGCCGCGGUAAUACGUAGGUGGCAAGCGUUGUCCGGAUUUAUUGGGCGUAAAGCGAGCGCAGGCGGUUUCUUAAGUCUGAUGUGAAAGCCUUCGGCUCAACCGAAGAAGUGCAUCGGAAACUGGGAAACUUGAGUGCAGAAGAGGACAGUGGAACUCCAUGUGUAGCGGUGAAAUGCGUAGAUAUAUGGAAGAACACCAGUGGCGAAGGCGGCUGUCUGGUCUGUAACUGACGCUGAGGCUCGAAAGCAUGGGUAGCAAACAGGAUUAGAUACCCUGGUAGUCCAUGCCGUAAACGAUGAGUGCUAGGUGUUGGAGGGUUUCCGCCCUUCAGUGCCGCAGCUAACGCAUUAAGCACUCCGCCUGGGGAGUACGACCGCAAGGUUGAAACUCAAAGGAAUUGACGGGGGCCCGCACAAGCGGUGGAGCAUGUGGUUUAAUUCGAAGCAACGCGAAGAACCUUACCAGGUCUUGACAUCCUUUGACCACUCUAGAGAUAGAGCUUUCCCUUCGGGGACAAAGUGACAGGUGGUGCAUGGUUGUCGUCAGCUCGUGUCGUGAGAUGUUGGGUU
rnacentral:rRNA from 1 species